UGGGGAAUUUUGGACAAUGGGCGAAAGCCUGAUCCAGCAAUGCCGCGUGUGUGAAGAAGGCCUUCGGGUUGUAAAGCACUUUUGUCCGGAAAGAAAUCCUUGGCUCUAAUACAGUCGGGGGAUGACGGUACCGGAAGAAUAAGCACCGGCUAACUACGUGCCAGCAGCCGCGGUAAUACGUAGGGUGCAAGCGUUAAUCGGAAUUACUGGGCGUAAAGCGUGCGCAGGCGGUUUGCUAAGACCGAUGUGAAAUCCCCGGGGCUCAACCUGGGAACUGCAUUGGUGACUGGGCAGGCUAGAGUAUGGCAGGAGGGGGGUAGAAUUCCACGUGUAGCAGUGAAAUGCGUAGAGAUGUGGAGGAAUACCGAUGGCGAAGGCAGCCCCCUGGGCCAAUACUGACGCUCAUGCACGAAAGCGUGGGGGAGCAAACAGGAUUAGAUACCCCUGGGUAGUCCACGCCCCUAAACGAUGUCAACUAGUUGUUGGGGAUUCAUUUCCUUAGUAACGUAGCUAACGCGUGAAGUUGACCGCCUGGGGGAGUACGGUCGCAAGAUUAAAACUCAAAUGAAUUGACGAGGUC
rnacentral:rRNA from 1 species